rnacentral:lncRNA from 1 species
UUAACCCUAGCCCUAACCAUCGCGCUAACCCUAACCCUAACCUUAGCGCUUGCCAUAACCCCAAUCGUGGCCCUAACCCUAACCCUAACCCUACCUUGGAUACUAACCCUAACCGUAAUACUGACCCUAACCCUAACCCUAGGGGUCACUUGAAGCCUAACCUCAGGAUCUAACCCUAACCUCGGAUACUAGCCCUGACCCUAAUACUGACCCUAACCCUAACCCUAGGGGUCACUUGAAGCCUAACCUCAGGAUCUAACCCUAACCUCGGAUACUAGCCCUGACCCUAAUACUGACCCUAACCCUAACCCUAGGGGGUCACUUGAAGCCUAACCUCAGCAUUAAGAUAAAUAUAUCAUGUAUUAAAAAACAAUCAGCGUCUAAAGGGUUAACAUAAGAUAAAUAUAUCAUGCAUUAAAAAACAAUCAGCGUCUAAAGGGUUAACAUUCAGAAACUAAAUAGAGUACAAAAUAACACAAAUUAUUUAAGAAAAUUCAGUAAAUUAUUUCUCCAAGGGUAUAAAAGGGAGAGGGGAACAGGGAUAACUUCAUUUUUAUUUGGCUGCCUGCUGGGUACACACCCCUAUGAAUUGGGGCCCAGCAGCCAUUCUUUUUUGUGCGCAUGACCUGAUGAAGACCCAAGUAGGGUCGAAACGUCGUCGACGCGCACAAUGUAUGUACAUAGUUCCUGUGUGAUCAUGUAUUGUUUGUUUGUUUGUUUGUUUGUUUGUGUGUUGUGUAUAUAAAAAACAAAAAAAUCCUAAAAAACUGGAAAUUAUUUAAAAACAAAAACAAAAAAUCCUAAAAAAAUGGAAACUAUUUAAAAACAAUAACGCAACACAUUAAAACCAAGUCAACAACAACAUUUAUUAAGCACAAGUCGUGUUUCCUGUGGGACCGGGGGAGCGUGUCCGGUGGGCGAAGGACCGUGCAUUCCCCGCUCCCCGCCGCCCAAGUAGGGCAACUUAGGGGAGACGGGAUACUUACCCAAAAACCUAACCCCUAACCCUAACCCUAACCCUAACCCCUAACCCUAACCCCUAACCCUAACCCUAACCCUAACCCUAACCCCUAACCCUAACCCUAACCCUAACCCCUAACCCCUAACCCUAACCCUAACCCUAACCCCUAACCCUAACCCUAACCCUGGCCCUAACCCUAAGCCUAACCCUAGCCUCGGAUUUGAACCCUAACCCUAACACUGACCCUAACCCUAACCCUAGGUCAGUCUAAGCCUAAACACAGGUAAAGGAUAAAUAUAUCAUUUAAUUAAAAACCAAACAGCAGUUAAAGGGUUAACUUUUCUCAAACUAAAUACAGUUGAAAAUAACCAAAAAUAUCCGAGAAAUUAAGUCUAAUUAUUGCUCCAAGGAUAUAAAAGGGAAAAGGGGACAGGAAAUUCUCAUUUUAUUUUGGCUGCUUGCUGGGAUAACCCCUAUGAAUUGGGGCCCAGCAGCCAUUUAUUUUAUGUGUGCAUAAGACCUGAUGAAGACCCAAGCAGGGUCGAAACGUCGUCGCGAUGCACACCACCUGUACAUAGUUCAUGUGUCGAUCAUGUACCUUUUGUUUGUUUGUUUGUGUGUUUGUGUGUCCAAAAACAAUCAAAAACCUGAAAAAAAGAGAUUAAUGAAAUAACAAUCAUGUAACACAACACACUAAAACCAAAUCAAAUACAAACCUUAAACACAAAUUAGUGAUCCAUGGGGGCCGGGGGAGCGUGUCCAGUGGGCGAAGGACCGUGCAUUCCCCGCUCCCCACAGGGUCAACCUAGAGGGAGACGGGAUUCAUUCCCCUAAACCUAACC